UACGGGGGGGCAAGCGUUGUUCGGAAUUACUGGGCGUAAAGGGCUCGUAGGUGGCCAACUAAGUCAAUCGUGAAAUCCCUCGGCUUAACCGGGGAACUGCGCUUGAUACUGGAUGGCUUGAGUUUGGGAGAGGGAUGCGGAAUUCCAGGUGUAGCGGUGAAAUGCGUAGAUAUCUGGAGGAACACCGGUGGCGAAGGCGGCAUCCUGGACCAUUACUGACGCUGAGGAGCGAAAGCCAGGGGAGCAAAGCGGGG
rnacentral:rRNA from 1 species